rnacentral:tRNA from 2 species
GCGGACGUAGCUCAACGGUUAGAGCACUGGACUGUGGCUCCAGGUGCUGCGGGUUCGAGUCCCGUCGUCCGCCCCA